GGGCCAGUAGCUCAGUCUGGUACUUUGCGCAGACAAAAGUUUGUGUAAAGCAGAAAAGAGUGCUCGGUUGGCAAUCGGGAGGUCUCGGGUUCAAAUCCCGACUGGUCCA
rnacentral:tRNA from 1 species